GACCACAAUUGUCGUCCCUUGAUUUUCGUUGUUCACGAAUAUAGUCCCUAGUGUUGACAGUGGGUUACUUGCCAUUAAUUUUUAUACCCCUUCCAAAUUUAUUUCUCCAUGUUUAAUGCCUUAAAUUGCAAGUAGGGGGUGAAAUUACACUGUUAACAAAUUUGGGUCCAGAAUUUUAAAGGAAAGUAGUGAUUUGGUCCAGGUGAAAAAGGUUGAAAAUUAGCACUUCGGAAGCUGUCAAAAGAUUUCAAGACGCC
rnacentral:lncRNA from 1 species